rnacentral:rRNA from 1 species
AUUGAACGCUGGCGGCAGGCCUAACACAUGCAAGUCGAACGAGUGGCGGACAGGUGAGUAAUGUCUGGGAAACUGCCUGAUGGAGGGGGAUAACUACUGGAAACGGUAGCUAAUACCGCAUACCAUCGGAUGUGCCCAGAUGGGAUUAGCUAGUAGGUGGGGUAACGGCUCACCUAGGCGACGAUCCCUAGCUGGUCUGAGAGGAUGACCAGCCACACUGGAACUGAGACACGGUCCAGACUCCUACGGGAGGCAGCAGUGGGGAAUAUUGCGCAAUGGGCGCAAGCCUGAUGCAGCCAUGCCGCGUGUAUGAAGAAGGCCUUCGGGUUGUAAAGUACUUUCAGCGGGGAGGCGUUACUCGCAGAAGAAGCACCGGCUAACUCCGUGCCAGCAGCCGCGGUAAUAC